UACGUAGGGUGCGAGCGUUAAUCGGAAUUACUGGGCGUAAAGUGUGCGCAGGCGGCCGCGCAAGUCGAGUGUGAAAGCCCCGGGCUUAACUUGGGAAUUGCGCUCGAAACUACGUGGCUGGAGUGUGGCAGAGGAAGGUGGAAUUCCACGUGUAGCGGUGAAAUGCGUAGAGAUGUGGAGGAACACCAACGGCGAAAGCACUCUGCUGGGCCGACACUGACACUGAGAGACGAAAGCUAGGGGAGCGAAUGGG
rnacentral:rRNA from 1 species